AUCUCGCGCUCAACCGCCCCUCUUUGCCGUCCAAGUCACGACCCAGCGUUGGGCGCUCGACAACGACGACAUCUCGUUUCUUGAUUUUGCGUGGAAAUCGACGUUAAGGAUUUAGGUCCUUAACAGAAACCUUGUUGGUCUCACUACUUUAUAUGCUGAUACCAAUAAUCUAAAAGGCCCAAUUCCUUCCUCCAUUGGAAAACUUCACAAGUUGCAAGAAAUCAAUAUCCAAACAAAUAGACUGACAAAUGAGAUGCCAUUUUCAUUGGGCAACUUGACUUUGUUGAACAUUCUUUCCUUAGCAUUAAAUAAUCUUUCUGGGUUAUACCUCAAAGUCUCGCCAACUGUACCAACUUGUCAUAUUUAGACCUUUCAUAUAACAAUCUCAGUGGCUUAAUACCUCCUGAAAUCAUGAAGCUUUCCUCCAUUUCCAAUGUACUUGACCUAUCUGGCAACGUCUAGACUGGUACUAUUCCAUCAGAAGUUGGGGAUUUGAGAAAUCUUGGAUAUAUGGACUUGUCCAACAAUAGAUUAUCCGGAACCAUUCCUCCUUCUUUGGGGAGUUGUGUGAUGCUCAGCUUGCUUCACCUAGAGAGAAAUUCUUUUCAAGGGGAGAUACCUGAUAGUUGAGAGGUUUAGAAUAUUUGGAUCUUUCACGGAAUAACCUUUCCGGGAUGAUUCCAAAAUUUCUAGCUGAGUUUCGCCUCUUGUAUCUCAAUAUUUCUUUCAACAAGCUGCAAGGUGUAGUCCCAAGUCUUGGAGUUUUCCAAAAUGAAAGUGCAAUCUCACUUCAAGGGAACCUAGACUUGUGUGGAGGCAUUGAAACCCUACACCUUCCUUCCUGUUCAUCAUCAACAAAAUCAAAGAAGAAGGGUUUAGGUAAAAUCUUGAUUCCAACUAUCGUCGGAGCCAUAUGCCUAGCGCUUGCAGUGUGCUUAUGUGUCAUCAUUAUCUACAAGCGACAUAAAUUGCAAAAUGUUGGAACCCCAAUAUUCCAACCGCCAGAGUUUUUGAUGCUAUCUUACGGAGAUCUCUUGAAUGCCACAAGUGGAUUCUCGAAGACCAAUCUAGUUGGUGCAGGUAGAUUUGGAUCUGUGUAUAAAGGAACUAUCAAUGAUGAUGAUGAGUAGACAGAUGUGGCAGUGAAGGUUCUUAAUCUUAACAUAAGAUGAGCUUCAAAGAGUUUGGCAUCAGAAUGCAAUGCAUUGAGAGGCAUACGCCACAGAAACUUGCUCAAGAUUGUGAGUGUGUGUGACAGCACUGAUUUUCAAGUGAAUGAUUUUAAGGCAUUGGUGUAUGAAUUUGUGGCCAAUGGAAGCCUCGAGAAUUGGUUGUAUUGCAUUCCUGAGAAUGAAGGGUUUAGAGCUCUCAGUGCUAUUCAGAGACUGAAUAUUGCGAUUGAUAUUACAUCUGCAGUUGAGUACGUGCAUUGUGGUACAGACUCCAUAGUUAUUCAUGGAGAUUUGAAGCCGAGUAACAUUCUCUUGGAUCAAGAAAUGGUCUCCAAAGUUGGUGAUUUUGGUUUAGCCAAAAUUGUGUCAAACAUUUCACAGAGCUUGCCAUCCAUGGAAGGAAGCAGUUCAUCAGCAAUAAAGGGUACCAUACGCUACAUUGCUCCAGAGUAUGGCAUGAGCUACGUUGCAUCAACUCAAGGGGAUGUAUACAGUUACGGAGUUCUUGUACUUGAGAUGUUCACAAAUACAAGACCAAGGGUGUCUAAAUAUCCAGGACUUCGUUAGCAUAGCUUUGGCGAACCGUGUAAUUGAAGUAGUUUAUCCAAUUCUGCAUCAAGAACUUAAUGUGGCUGAAAAAUAUUGGGAUUGUAUUGUUUCAAUUCUGAGGAUUGGAGUGAGAUGCUCGGAGCAGCUUCCAAGAGAUCGCAUGUCGAUGGCAGAGGUUGUUAAUGACUUGAAAAAGAUUAAAAAAGUGUUUCCAGUUUAUAAAAUUGGUAGAAAUGAUGCUUCUUACCAACGUUGAUAUUGAUGUUAGUUUCUGUCUUUUGGCAAUAUUUUCAGUUGUAAUUGAUGGGCAGUUUCUGUUCAUUUUCAAUUUUAUCCUUAGCAAUGUGUCCCCCUUUGUUUAUGUUAA